GAUGAACGCUGGCGGCGUGCCUAAUACAUGCAAGUCGAGCGAACGGACGAGAAGCUUGCUUCUCUGAUGUUAGCGGCGGACGGGUGAGUAACACGUGGAGAACCUACCUAUAAGACUGGGAUAACUUCGGGAAACCGGAGCUAAUACCGGAUGAUAUUUUGAACCGCAUGGUUCAAAAGUGAAAGACGGUCUUGCUGUCACUUAUAGAUGGAUCCGCGCUGCAUUAGCUAGUUGGUAAGGUAACGGCUUACCAAGGCAACGAUGCAUAGCCGACCUGAGAGGGUGAUCGGCCACACUGGAACUGAGACACGGUCCAGACUCCUACGGGAGGCAGCAGUAGGGAAUCUUCCGCAAUGGGCAAAAGCCUGACGGAGCAACGCCGCGUGAGUGAUGAAGGUCUUCGGAUCUUAAAACUCUGUUAUUAGGGAAGAACAUAUGUGUAAGUAACUGUGCACAUCUUGACGGUACCUAAUCAGAAAGCCACGGCUAACUACGUG
rnacentral:rRNA from 1 species